GAUGAACGCUGGCGGCGUGCCUAAUACAUGCAAGUCGAGCGAACAGAUGAGGAGCUUGCUCCUCUGACGUUAGCGGCGGACGGGUGAGUAACACGUGGAUAACCUACCUAUAAGACUGGGAUAACUUCGGGAAACCGGAGCUAAUACCGGAUAAUAUAUUGAACCGCAUGGUUCAAUAGUGAAAGACGGUUUUGCUGUCACUUAUAGCUGGAUCCGCGCCGCAUUAGCUAGUUGGUAAGGUAACGGCUUACGAAGGCAACGAUGCGUAGCCGACCUGAGAGGGUGAUCGGCCACACUGGAACUGAGACACGGUCCAGACUCCUACGGGAGGCAGCAGUAGGGAAUCUUCCGCAAUGGGCGAAAGCCUGACGGAGCAACGCCGAGUGAGUGAUGAAGGUCUUCGGAUCGUAAAACUCUGUUAUUAGGGAAGAACAAAUGUGUAAGUAACUAUGCACGUCUUGACGGUACCUAAUCAGAAAGCCACGGCUAACUACGUG
rnacentral:rRNA from 1 species